CCGCUGAAGAAUAUCAGGCAGAGGCGGAGAGGAGGACACACAUCAGAGCAGAGAGGCGUCGAGAUCGGACAGGACGAUGCGGCCGAAACACCCACCAAAACCGCGAAAAUCGCCCCAAAAUGUGCCACCGGCCGGGGUAGAUGACGACGGCUACACCCGGACUUGGAAAUGGGAAUUCUCUUGAGGUUUCACAAAUUGCGUCAACGAAGAAAAUAAAUCAUCUGACCCAAGCUAAAUGGGUUGACAUUUAGACACCAUGGAGUCGAGAAUUGAAGCAUUCCGGCGAUUUGAACUGCAAGAAGUUUUUCGGAAGAAUGAGAUGGGCGUGAAGAUUUUCAAAUUAUGAUGAAAAAGAAGACGGCUCGACGCCAUUCAACUGGAUAGUGGUGAAGUGGAGACAGCGUUGUUUGACGCGAAGAUGGCAAACUGGUUUGACAGUUAGCCACAUUUUGCCAAGAUGAAGCCUUUUUGACUGGGAUUUUUCGAUUGGAUAUUUUUUAUUUUUUAUGACAACAUGGACACUGGAAGACGUGCUGGCUGUAUAGCGGACUUAAAUAAUUACAUUGUUGUUUUGGGGAAAAUAGCCUUUGUACAUUUGUUUUUCAAAUGUUGUUUUGAAAUAAAGUUUAUGUCCUCGUAAUUUU